ACAUGAUGAUGAUGAUGAUGAUGGUGGUGGUGGUGGUUUAUUGGCCGCCGAUAUAUCAUCAUAAUCAUCAUCAUCAGCAUCAUAA
rnacentral:pre_miRNA from 1 species